GAAGGGUUUGUGGCUCCCCACUCCCCUCCCCCGACGAGGCUGCUCCCACAGAGGCCUUUGCUCGUCUGCACCCCCAAAACCAUGGGUUUCAUUAUCUCCAGGCUCCCUUCUGGGCCCAGAAAAGACGGUGGCCUUGCCCGCCCGCAUGACGGCAAUGUGAGGCAACGCCUGCACACGCCAGGCGUUGGGAAGAUAAUUCUAAAGGAAUAAACACCAACUGCAGAUAAACAAGAAUACUGUCUGUUUAAAUGUAAUCUGAUUAGAAAAGAGAGUUUUCACUGGGGACUAUAAAAAAUCCGGUUUGCCAAACCACACUGGAAAAGCUCAAGCUUGUGGUGCUUGUCUUGUGGGCAAAGCACAAACGCCCGCAGUUUCUUCUGGAAAUUCCGGAGAAGCCCCUCGGCACCUCCUCCCGGCUUCAGCGCUUACAGAGCAUGACCGCCUCAACCAGGGUACAGUGACCUCGCUCUGUUCCCUCUGCGGAUCUGAACACAGAGCACGUUGUUCUCCAACCCUUCACAGGACGCGGGGGCCUGGCUCUGGUUCCCAGUGCUCAGCGAGCCAAGCAGAUGGCCGCGAAAUCCAGAGGUGGCCCGGUUAUCAUGACGCCUGGGUCCCCCCCAUGAGGACCCCAUGAGGCUCUGAGGUCCUUUCCAGACCUCAGAGCGCCUCGCUGUGCUCCAGGUGGUUCUGGAGACUUCCUGCAGAGCGCCGGCAUGUACAGAGAGACGGGACAUCCUGAGCCCACUUCAGAGUUGGUGAAACUGAGGUCUGGACAGGGACUACAAGACCCUUGAGCUGGAGAACACGUCGAUCCAAUUUUCCGAUGUUUGUGAGUACUUGCAGGCGUGGGGCUGAGUGCUGGAGAUAGUGUCUGGAGAGUGUGCUCUGCUUUUAGGUAUCUUUUAUCUGAGUCCAGGGGUGGAGACAAAUGUGUAAACUCUCCCAAGUAAAAGCAAACUGGGAACCGGGAGAAAGGCUGAGAAACGGAGGAAAUGGGAGCCCGGAGAGCUGAUGUAAGAAGAAUGCUUGAUCUCCUCUGGGGAGGCCUUUGUGCAAGGCUUCCCUGUGCGUCCUCCGAUUAAGGCUCCUGAUAAGCAGGCUGAAAUCUGAUCAUGGGGAGGAGGCAGAGAACUUUCCAGACGGAGGGAGCACCACGUGCAAAAGCUGGUAUGAUGGACCAAGCAAGGAGGGAGGCAGAGGGAAACUGCACACACAGAGGAGAAUGUGAUGUGACCACAAAGGCAGAAAUUGGAGUGAUGCAGCCACGAGCCAAGGGACAUCAGUAGCCACCAGAAGCUGGAAGAAGCCAGACCCUCCCAUAGAGCCUCUGGACACACCAUGGACCUGCUGACACCCCGAUUUUGGUGCAGUGAUGCUAAUUUUGGGUUCCUGGCUUCCAGAACUGGAAAACAAUAAAGUUUGGUUUUUCUAAGCCAC